rnacentral:rRNA from 1 species
GACGAACGCUGGCGGCGCGCCUAACACAUGCAAGUCGAACGGAACUGUUUUGGAGCUUGCUUCGAGACAGUUUAGUGGCGGACGGGUGAGUAACGCGUGAGCAACCUACCUCUCAGAGGGGGAUAACGUCUGGAAACGGACGCUAAUACCGCAUAACAUUCUGAGGUCGCAUGGCUUUAGAAUCAAAGGAGCAAUCCGCUGAGAGAUGGGCUCGCGUCCGAUUAGCCAGUUGGUGAGGUAACGGCCCACCAAAGCAACGAUCGGUAGCCGGACUGAGAGGUUGAACGGCCACAUUGGGACUGAGACACGGCCCAGACUCCUACGGGAGGCAGCAGUGGGGGAUAUUGCACAAUGGAGGAAACUCUGAUGCAGCGACGCCGCGUGAGGGAAGAAGGUCUUCGGAUCGUAAACCUUUGUCCUUGGUGACGAUAAUGACGGUAGCCAAGGAGGAAGCUCCGGCUAACUAC